GCCUGGGUGGCUCAGUCAGUUGAACAUCUGACUUUGGCUCAGGUCAUGAUCUCACAGUCUGUGGGUUCAAGCCCCACGUCGGGCU
rnacentral:tRNA from 1 species